AAGUCGUAACAAGGUUUCCGUAGGUGAACCUGCGGAAGGAUCAUUAACACGAAACUCCACGUUUCAUACCAACCUGUGGUCUUGUAACUUUCUGUUUUUUGGAACGAAACAAGGCGGUUCACACUGCUUGUUUUUAUCCAAAGAAUAUUUUAUCUUACAAAAACCCCUUGUAUCAUCUAUUGACUGAACCAAUAGAAGCUUUGAGUACCCUCGGGCGCUCGCUUCUUGAUAUUACGAAACUCUGAACAACUCUAAGCAACGGAUAUCUUGGUUCUC
rnacentral:misc_RNA from 1 species